rnacentral:lncRNA from 10 species
CCAGGCUCUGUGGGUUCCCUUCCGGCGCCAGCUCCCCAGGCAGGUCCUCAACAAGUUUUCCCUUCUCAUCAUACAACCUCUAUUUCUGGUCACACUGUGUCCCCAGAACCCUACCCUGCCUACUGAGAAGCUUGGCUGGUGAGGAGCAGGGCUGAUUUCUGUUUAGGCCCAGGAACAUCCAGACCCAGCACUGCCUACCUCUGGAUUAUCAGGUAAGACACACGAACCUGUAGAAGCAGCUUUCCG